rnacentral:rRNA from 1 species
GCCGCACUGGGACUGAGACACUGCCCAGACUCCUACGGGAGGCUGCAGUCGAGGAUCAUUCGCAAUGCACGAAAGUGUGACGAUGCGACGCAGCGUGGAGGAUGAAGGCCCUAGGGUCGUAAACUCCUGUCAUGAGGGAUAAGCCGGUGGAAGGUUAAUACCUUUUCACCCCGAUAGUACCUCAAGAGGAAGCCACGGCUAACUCUGUGCCAGCAGCCGCGGUAAUACAGAGGUGGCUAGCGUUGUUCGGAUUCACUGGGCGUAAAGCGUACGUAGGCGGUCAUGUAUGUCGGAUGUGAAAUCCCGGGGCCCAACCCCGGAACUGCGUCCGAAACUGCAUGACUAGAGUGCAGGAUGGGAGAGGGGAAUUCAUGGAGUAGCGGUGAAAUGCGUUGAUAUCAUGAAGAACACCGGUGGCGAAGGCGCCUCUCUGGAAUGUAACUGACGCUGAGGUACGAAAGCAUGGGGAGCAAACAGGAUUAGAUACCCUGGUAGUCCAUGCCGUAAACGGUGCGCACUUGGUGUUGGAGGGGUCAGCCCCUUCAGUGCCGGAGCUAACGCGUUAAGUGCGCCGCCUGGGGAGUACGGCCGCAAGGCUAAAACUCAAAGAAAUUGACGGGGGCCCGCACAAGCGGAGGAGCAUGUGGCUUAAUUCGAUGCAACGCGAAUAACCUUACCCAGGCUUGACAUAUAACUGCAAGUCCUGUGAAAGCAGGAUUCCUUCGAGGGUGUUAUACAGGUGCUGCAUGGCUGUCGUCAGUUCGUGCCGUGAGGUGUUUGGUUAAGUCCAGCAACGAACGCAACCCCUGUGUCUAGUUGCCAUCAGGUAAUGCUGGGAACUCUAGACAGACUGCCUGUGCAAUCAGGAGGAAGGUGGGGACGACGUCAAGUCAGUAUGGCCCUUACGCCUGGGGCUGCACACGUGCUACAAUGGCCGGUACAGAAGGAUGCAAAGCCGCGAGGUCGAGCAAAUCCCCAAAGCCGGUCCCAGUUCGGAUAGGAGUCUGCAACUCGACUCCUUGAAGUUGGAUUCGCUAGUAACGGCGUAUCAGCUACGACGCCGUGAAUACGUUCCCGGGCCUUGUACACACCGCCCGUCACAUCAUGAAAGCCGUCUGCACCCGAAGUCGCCGACCCAACCUGCAAAGGAGGGAGGUGCCGAAGGUGUGGGUGGUGAUUGGGAUGAAGUCGUAACAAGGUA